UACAGAGGGUGCGAGCGUUAAUCGGAAUUACUGGGCGUAAAGCGCGCGUAGGUGGCUUUGCAAGUCGAGUGUGAAAUCCCCAGGCUUAACCUGGGAACUGCAUUCGAGACUACAUAGCUAGAGUAUGGGAGAGGGAAGUGGAAUUUCAGGUGUAGCGGUGAAAUGCGUAGAUAUCUGAAGGAACAUCAGUGGCGAAAGCGACUUCCUGGACCAAUACUGACGCUCAUGUGCGAAAGCGUGGGGAGCAAACAGG
rnacentral:rRNA from 1 species